AAAGGAAAGGAAACGAAAUUGAAUUGAAUGAUAAAACCGUAAACAACAUUUUGGGAGGGAAGAUGAAAAGAAUAGAAAAAACAAUAACGAUCAUUAUUAUAAGUUUGGUUCAAAAAAUAAAGAUAGUGAGUGAAUGAUAUAGCAAUAAGGAUGGCGAAGGCAAACCUGUCUAGCUUAGUUCACGAACUUCGUGAACGCAUAGCUGCAUCCUCUUCUUCCUCCCCAUCUCCUAACAACCCUUCCGACGACGACGUUUUGGAGGUUAGGUUCCGUACCGUCCUCCCCAAUCUUCUCCACGCUUACGUCCUCCCUACUUCCUCCGGUAACGAGAGAGAAGUGAUUGCCGUAGUGAAACUCAUCUCUCGCACAGCAAUUAACUUCCCCGGAGUGUUUUUCCAUGGUCAACCCACCGCUAUUCUACCAAUCAUCGCUCGUUUACUCCCUUUUUUCGCUGAACCUCUCUUUCGAUCUCGUCAUGGAGUUUUCUUUGAAGCUAUCGGUUCGCUUUUAUCCUUACUUCGCUCCGGUGCUCGAGAUUCUUACAGACAGUUCUUUGUUGAUUCUGUAUUCCUCAUUCAAGAUGUUUUACAUGUGGCUUCUCUAAGUUUCAAUGGAUCCCCUAGUGUCAUGAUUAAGUGUUUUUCCGAGUCAUUCUCUGGAGUUGAAGAUCUUCCAACAACGAACAAACCAGUUGAUGGUUGCGGUUUAUUGAUUGACCUUACUGGCAAAACCAGGUGGCAACCUUUUGCAACUUGGAUUUUGAAACUUCUUGGUAAAUGUCUAACUGAAGGAACACUCUAUGUUGAAGGAUUGAUUCAUGCUUCCUUUGUCUCUGCUGCGUGUUCUCUUUUAUGCUAUGGGGAUUCUGAUUUGCAUAUGGCAUGCUUUGACUUUGUGCACAUUGUUGCGACGGUCACAAACUAUGAUAUCAUUCCUUAUCAGAAUUUAAUCCGCUCAAUGGUUAUUAUCUUGAAUUUGGACAAGGAGGGGCUUCCUUUUUUCAGAAACACAACUUAUGAUUCAUCGUUGGGUGUUUGCCUCAAUACACUCCACUCUAACUGUCCAGAAGAUAUCGUCAAAUUAACCGCUGCUGAUUUAGUCGGUGUAUUCUUUGGAUCGUUGUGGAGAACCAAAAGCCAGGAACUUAAGGUUGCACUAUGCAGUGCUUAUGCUAGAAUUGCUCAAGUUUGCCCCCCUCAUGUUUGGAAGCCAGAGCAUCUCAUAUCUGCACUCUAUCAUCCGGACCCAUGUUUGCCUUUGAUAGAGUGCUUUCAAGUUGCGGUAUCUACUCUUGGUCCACAUCUUGUUGGGGGAAACCAAAGAAACAACAAUAGUGUAGCCCUUUUAUCAAAUGAAAACAAGUCAACUGAAAGCAUGAGGCAUGGCCAAAAGAGGUCCAUUCAGGAUAUGGGUAAUUCAAAGAUCAAACGCCAAAAAUUAAAUGAAGAAAUUGAUGUUAUAGAUGCCAGUAUUGAGGUGGAAUGCAAAUAUAGUUGUAUAGUUACUUGCCAAAGAGUGGAAGAUUAUGCUAACCAUAUGAAUAAAUCUCUUGUGUCAUUUGUUCAAUCUUUAAAUGCUCCGGCUGUUGGACCUGGCUCUUUGAGGCCAGAUAUUGCUUUAUCUGCACUUAGCGUUCUAUGCAUUGCCUUUUCUAUAUAUCCAGAGAGCGAUCUGUCUAUCAGAAUCUUCCAGCAGAUGCUUGCAUGGCUUCCUUGGAUAGCUGAGCAGGCGAAACAAGGGAAUUCAAUUACUGUAGAUAUCUCCACCUACCUACAAGGAAUUCAUAGUGUAUUGCUUUUGCAAAGUGCCCUUUUCAAACAGAAUAAUCCAUUACAAGAUGGGAAUUACCACGUAGACCUUAUGCUUGUUGUGCUUAAACUUCCCUGGACUCAUGUGCUCCUUGUUAUUGAUAAUCAGCUGCCUUGGAAAACCAAAUGCCUUUCUCUUCAAGUAUUAUCGAAGUUAGGUCCAAGCUUGAGCAGUGAAGUUGUUUUUGAAGUUUUAGAUUUGGGUCUCCAAGACAAAGCUGGAGAAGUCAGAAUUGAAGCUGCUAUUUCUAUGCCAGUGAUGGUUUUGUGGUCUGGUCUUGACAUAUCAUCUCCUGUCAUUAAAAGGAUGGAGUACCUAAGAACAGAUGAAGAGGUUAGGAAACUUCUUCCAAUAUCUCUUGGCCUAUUGUCAUGCCUUUAUGGAUGCAGAAGAGCUGUAUCUGGUCUGCCUAGGAACGAAUGCAAGUUAUUUCUAAAGGAGAAAAGUGGAAGAUCAAGUUGGACGAUAGAUUAUUUAAUGCAAGGUUUUAGCUGUUCAAAAUGUGAUAAAAAAUUUAUUUGCAAUUACAAUGAGCGGCAUCCUCCCAUCGUUCUUGGAUCUGAGAUGUGUGGAGCAGACGCACAAGUUAGUUUGGACUGUAAUUUCAUGCAGUUGCAAUCUUUAUUUUUUGACCUUCUUUUUGAUGAAUCGUCAGAGGAUGUCCAGAUUUCCUGUGUGAAAGUUAUUCAUCGGAUCCUUGCACAUGGUGCCCCUGAUAUUCUGCUCAGUACUAGGCUUGAAUGGAUAAAAUGUGUAGACUAUCUUUUGACUAGUAGUAACAAGGAAUUGAGAGAUGCAUUUUGCGGUCAUAUUAGUUCUUUUAUGGAUGAUCGUAUUUUGAGUUUAAUAUUUGCUGGAGAUACAGACAAAACCAAGGAGCAAAAAUUCUUGGAUACAGUUAAACAUGCCAUGACAGUUGCUGAUAGUCCACAUAUAUUAGAGACUUUAAUGGAAUGUACAGCACAAAUAAUGGUUUCUGUUGAUAUAGGUAGCAAACUGUUCUCAUCUUCUCUUCUACUGUUGGUUGAUCAGCUUGAUAGCAAACACAUGACUGUGAGGAUGAAUGCGUCAAGAUUAAUACACAAAUCCUGUUAUUUCCAUCUUAAAGGAGGACUUGAACUAAUUCUUUCUAAAGAUGCUCAUAUUCGUAAUGAACUGUAUGAUUAUCUCUCUAAGAGACUUGUCAGCCACCGAAUCUUAGUGAAGGAGUUUGCAGAAGCUGUUUUUGGUGUUAGGACUGAAGAACUUGUCCAGAAAAUGAUUCCUUCUGUUCUCCCAAAGCUUGUGGUUGCUCAGCAGUAUAAUAGUCAAGCUGCUGACACCAUAUGCGAGUUGGCCAAGCUUGCGAACACUGACAAGGAGCUUAAUGGUGAUAGUAUAGCGGUAUCAAAGAUCCGAACAGUGCGUCUGAUAGUUAAUUGGCUGCCAAAAGUGCUUGCUUUUGCUCUUCAUCAAACAGAUGACCAACAGCUACUUUCAGCUGUGCAGUUUUACCAUGCACAGAUUGAUUCUGACAAGAAGGAAAUAUUUUCAGCUGCUUUACCUACUCUUCUAGAUGAACUUGUAUGCUUUACAGAUGCUGGUGAUUCAGAUGAGAUAAGCAAAAGGUUAGCUAGAGUGCCUCCGAUGAUUAAAGAAAUUGCUAAAGUUCUCACUGGUGCAGAAGAUCUUCCAGGCUUUUUGAGGAGUCAUUUUGUUGGCCUUCUUAACAGCAUAGACAGAAAAAUGCUCCAUUCUGAUGAUUUCUUGCUUCGAAAACAAGCAUUACACCGUAUUGAGAUGCUGAUUAGAAUGAUGGGUUCUCAUCUUAAUACUUAUGUGCCAAAACUAAUGGUGCUUCUCUUGCAUGCUAUUGAUAAAGAAUCUCUGCAAAUGGAGGGGCUGUCUGUCUUGCAUUUUUUCAUAAAGCAAUUGGCUAAAGUUUCACCAUCUAGCAUUAAGCACAUAAUUUCUCAAGUUUUUGCUUCUCUUCUCCCCUUCCUGGAAAGAGACAGAGAAAAUCCCUCAAUACAUUUGGACAAAGUGGUAAAAAUUUUAGAAGAACUUGUUUUUAAGAAUAGGGUUAUCCUAAAGCAGCAUAUAUCUGAGUUCCCCCCGCUACCCUGUAUACCUGCUUUGAUGCAAGUGAACAAAGAAAUUGAGGUUGCUCGUGGGACAAUGGCUUUGAAGGAUCAACUACGAGACGUAGUUGAUGGUUUAAAUCAUGAGAACUUAAAUGUGAGGUACAUGGUAGCAUGUGAGCUUCGCAAGCUUUUGAACUUGAGAUGGAAGGAUAUUAUAGAUCUAAUCACUGCUGAAACUGGUUCAGACUUGGAUGUUUUGAGUUCUCUGAUCACAUCAUUAUUGAGAGGAUGUGCAGAAGAAUCAAGGACCACAGUUGGGCAGCGGUUGAAGUUGGUCUGUGCUGAUUGUCUUGGAGCCCUUGGUGCUGCUGACCCUGCUAAGGUAAAAGGCCUUUCAUGUCAGCGUUUCAAAAUUCAAUGCUCUGAUGAUGACCUCAUAUUUGAGCUGAUCCACAAGCAUCUAGCUCGGGCAUUUAGAUCUGCACCUGAUACUGUCAUUCAAGACUCUGCUGCAUUGGCUAUACAGGAGUUGCUAAAGUUUGCUGGUUGUGAGGCGUCACUUGAUGAGAAUGCUUCAACGAAGAUCAAGACUACCAAUGGCGGUAAUGGUAUGAAUAAUAGGGGACAGAAAUUAUGGGAUAGGUUUUCUAAUUAUGUGAAAGAGAUAAUAGCCCCAUGCUUAACAUCUAGGUUUCAGCUUCCUAACGUAGCUGACUCAACAUCUGUUGGCCCUAUUUACGACCCAUCUAUGUCAUUUAGAAGAUGGAUUUUCUUUUGGAUGAAAAAACUGAUUGUACAUGCUACUGGAUCUCGUGCAAGCAUCUUCAAUGCUUGUCGAGGUAUUGUACGUCAUGAUAUGCAAACAGCAAUAUAUCUGCUUCCAUACUUAGUUCUUAAUGCUGUCUGUCAUGGCACUCAGGAGGCACGCCACAGCAUAACAGAGGAAAUCUUAUCUGUUCUUGAUGCAGCUGCAUCAGAGAACAGUGGAGCUUCAGUUCAUGGAUUCAGUGGUGGUCAAAGUGAAGUUUGUAUUCAAUCCGUGUUCACUCUUCUUGAUAAUCUUGGACAGUGGGUGGAUGAUGUUGAACAAGAACUUGNUCUUUCCCUUUCUCAAUCAUCUGUUUCUAAGCAACAAAAGUCAAAGGAUCAAAUUCCAAUUUCCUUUACAGAUCAGGACCAACUCCUUGUACAAUGUAAAUAUGUUUCAGAGCUUCUAUCUGUGAUUCCAAAGGUGACUCUUGCUAGGGCUUCCUUUAGGUGUCAGGCUUAUGCAAGGUCACUGAUGUACUUUGAAUCUCAUGUAAGGGAAAAAUCUGGCGCUUUCAACCCUGCUGCUGAGAGGAGUGGCAUCUUCAAGGAUGAAGAUGUUUCACAUCUUAUGGAAAUAUACAGCUGUUUGGAUGAGCCGGAUGGACUAUCUGGCUUGUCAUGUUUAAGUAAAUCUUUAAGGUUACAAGAUCAGCUAUUAAUGAACAAAAAGGCUGGGAAUUGGGCCGAUGUUUUAACUUCUUGUGAACAAGCUUUGCAGAUGGAACCGACCUCAGUUCAGAGGCAUUCAGAUGUCCUAAACUGUUUACUAAACAUGUGCCACCUUCAGGCCAUGGUUACUCAUGUGGAUGGCUUAGUUUCUAGGAUUCCUCAGUACAAGAAAGCAUGGUGCAUGCAAGGUGUGCAGGCUGCCUGGAGGCUAGGAAGGUGGGAUUUGAUGGAUGAGUACCUUAGUGGAGCUGAAGAUGACAGUUUAGUUUGCAGUAGCUCAGAAAGUAAUGCUUCAUUUGAUUUGAAUGUCGCAAAGAUUCUCCAAGCAAUGAUGAAGAGGGACCACUUCUCAGUUGCAGAGAAAAUUGCUUUAACCAAGCAGUCACUGAUUGCUCCCCUAGCUGCUGCAGGAAUGGAUUCUUACACACGGGCCUACCCAUUUGUUGUAAAACUUCACUUUUUAAGGGAAUUGGAGGACUUCCAUUCUCUUCUGGGAGAUGACUCUUUCUUAGAGAAAUCGUUUCACUUAGAUGAUCCAGCUUUCUCUAAAUUAGUGGACAACUGGGAGAAUCGACUUAGAAUUACACAAUCAUCACUCUGGGCUAGGGAGCCACUCUUGGCUUUCAGGAGAUUGAUUUUUGGUGCAAGUGGUCUUGGUGCUCAAGUUGGCAAUUGCUGGCUUCAAUAUUCAAAGCUAUGUCGCUUAGCUGGUCAUUUUGAAACAGCCAACAGAGCAAUUUUAGAAGCCCAGGCCUCUGGUGCACCCAACGUCCACAUGGAAAAAGCAAAACUCCUCUGGAGCACCCGGCGAUCUGAUGGCGCCAUAGCAGUGCUGCAACAAUCUCUCUUGAACAUGCCUGUUGAGGUCUUAGGCGCUGCUGCAAUUUCAUCUAUUACCAGCCUUUCCCUUGUACCACUUAAUCCACCACCUGUUGUUUGUGAAAGUCAAGCUCUAAAUGAGAACCGAGACAUUGCAAAGACCCUUCUUCUGUACUCAAGGUGGACUCAUUACACUGGGCAGAAACAAAAGGAAGAUGUAAUAAGUCUUUAUACCAGGGUGAGGGAACUGCAGCCUAAAUGGGAGAAAGGAUACUUCUAUAUGGCUAAGUAUUGUGAUGAAGUGCUUGGUGAUGCCAGGAAACGCCAGGAGGAGAACUUUGAACUUGGCCCUAGACUAGUUCCUUUGGCAACUGUUGCUGUUGGCUCUUCAAACUUAAAUAAUGAGAGGCAUUGGUGGUCUUAUGUUCCUGAUAUUCUGUUAUUCUAUGCAAAAGGACUUCAUAGGGGACACAAGAAUUUAUUUCGGGCACUUCCAAGGUUAUUAACCCUCUGGUUUGACUUUGGAAGCAUGUAUCUAAGAAAUGGUUCAUCAAAAAAGGAUUUAAAGGUUGUGCAUGGGAAGGUAAUGAGUAUUAUGAGAGGCUGUUUGAAGGACUUACCGACAUACCAUUGGUUGACAGUGCUACCUCAAUUGGUUUCAAGAAUUUGCCAUCAAAAUGAAGAAAUUGUUCGACUAGUCAAACUUAUUAUUACCUCUGUUCUCCGCCAGUAUCCGCAACAGGCCCUAUGGGUUAUGGCUGCAGUUUCAAAAUCCACUGUUCCAUCAAGGCGCGAAGCAGCAGCUGAAAUCAUACAAGCUGCGCGUAGAGGUUUCAGCUCAGGAAAUAAUGAGAACAAUUUGUUUGUUCAAUUUGCUAGCCUAAUUGAUCAUAUGAUCAAGUUAUGCUUCCAUGCUGGUCAGUCAAGAGCAAGAACAAUUAAUCUCUCUACUGAAUUUAGCGCUCUAAAGAGGAUGAUGCCCCUGGGAAUUAUAAUGCCAAUUCAACAGUCUCUUACCGUAAAUCUGCCAGCAUAUGAUGGGAAUCUGGGGGAUUCACUUAUGUCGAAUAUAUUUUCUGCCACAGAUCUUCCUACUAUAACAGGCAUUGCCGAUGAGGCUGAAAUUUUAUCUUCUCUUCAGCGACCUAAGAAAAUCAUUCUACUGGGCAGUGAUGGCCUUGAGCGCCCGUUUCUCUGCAAACCAAAGGAUGACCUACGCAAAGAUGCUCGCAUGAUGGAGUUCACAGCAAUGAUUAACCGACUGCUAUCCAAAUAUCCUGAAAGUCGUAGAAGGAAGCUCUAUAUUCGUACGUUUGCAGUGAUUCCUCUGACAGAGGACUGUGGCAUGGUAGAGUGGGUACCCCACACUCGUGGGCUUCGACAAAUUCUUCAAGAUAUAUAUAUUACUUGUGGAAAGUUUGAUAGGCAGAAAACAAAUCCUCAAAUUAAACGAAUUUAUGAUCAAUGCCAAGGUAAAAUGCCAGAGGAUGAGAUGCUGAAGAACAAAAUACUUCCAAUGUUUCCCCCUGUUUUCCACAAAUGGUUCUUGACAACAUUUUCUGAGCCUGCCGCAUGGUUCAGGGCACGUGUUGCUUAUGCUCAGACGACUGCUGUUUGGUCCAUGGUUGGGCAUAUUGUGGGACUGGGUGACCGGCAUGGUGAAAACAUUCUUUUUGAUUCUACCAGCGGUGAUUGUGUUCACGUGGAUUUCAGUUGCUUAUUUGACAAAGGUUUGCAAUUGGAGAAACCAGAGCUCGUUCCUUUCAGGCUGACACAGAACAUGAUUGAUGGCUUAGGCAUCACUGGAUAUGAGGGUAUCUUCUUGAGGGUUUGUGAAAUCACACUUUCUGUACUGAGGACACAUAGGGAGACUCUCAUGAGUGUGCUUGAAACUUUUAUCCACGAUCCUCUCGUGGAAUGGACAAAAACUCACAAGUCCAGUGGCAUAGAAGUUCAGAAUCCACAUGCACAGUUUAUUUUCAGCGAGCCAUUAGUAAUAUCGAGGCAAGGUUAGAAGGAGUGGUUGUUGGUGUUGGAGCUGCACCGUCAUUACCUCUAGCUGUAGAAGGUCAAGCUCGUAGGCUAAUUGCUGAAGCAGUUUCUCACAAGAAUCUAGGAAAGAUGUAUAUAUGGUGGAUGCCUUGGUUUUGAAAAUUUCGAGAAGAUCUUCACAUAUUGAUUCAGACAGAAGAGAUGCAGAGACACAAGCAGAAAACUGAGGAAGGAAUGGAUCAAGCUUAUCUUAUUUUGAGUCUUGGACUGUGGGACCAUUGGAGCUGAAUGCAUAAAGUAAGCAUUUAAGCAGAAAUAUUGUCCUAGUCAUGGGGUUGGGCUUAGUGCGUGUUUGGAAAAAAAAGUGGAGAUUCACGAUGAUGACGUGCGUCCUUCAAACUCAUAGUGAAAUUGGCCUGGGAUGCGAGAUAGUCAAUAUUGACCGAUGCGGAUCCAAAGUCGCUUCAAGCUGCGGCUGAAUGAAACUGAUGCUACAUAGUUGCAACUGUUUGUGCUCUGCUUCACAAGGAUCCAUCCUAUGGAAGCAUGUUUUAGAGAUGAAAGUACAAUGUAUAUUCUUUGUAUAUGAAUCCUUGUUUGCGUUGGUCGUUGUGGCAUGAGUAGUUCCAGUUCUCAACAUUGUGGCCCUAAAGUUUAUUAAUAGAAUAUGAUUUGUAUAUAAGUGCAUAAAUUCCAUUACAUAUCAAUGUGACAAAUAAAAUUUGCUCACGUCAUGUCA